GCGAACCAGGGGAACUGAAACAUCUAAGUACCCUGAGGAAAAGAAAUCAACCGAGAUUCCCUUAGUAGUGGCGAGCGAACGGGGACUAGCCCUUAAGUGGCUUUGAGAUUAGCGGAACGCUCUGGAAAGUGCGGCCAUAGUGGGUGAUAGCCCUGUACGCGAAAAUCUCUUAGUCAUGAAAUCGAGUAGGACGGAGCACGAGAAACUUUGUCUGAAUAUGGGGGGACCAUCCUCCAAGGCUAAAUACUACUGACUGACCGAUAGUGAACUAGUACCGUGAGGGAAAGGCGAAAAGAACCCCGGAGAGGGGAGUGAAAUAGAUCCUGAAACCGUAUGCGUACAAGCAGUGGGAGCCCACUUUGUUGGGUGACUGCGUACCUUUUGUAUAAUGGGUCAGCGACUUAUUUUCAGUGGCGAGCUUAACCGAAUAGGGGAGGCGUAGCGAAAGCGAGUCUUAAUAGGGCGUCUAGUCGCUGGGAAUAGACCCGAAACCGGGCGAUCUAUCCAUGGGCAGGUUGAAGGUUGGGUAACACUAACUGGAGGACCGAACCGACUACCGUUGAAAAGUUAGCGGAUGACCUGUGGAUCGGAGUGAAAGGCUAAUCAAGCUCGGAGAUAGCUGGUUCUCCUCGAAAGCUAUUUAGGUAGCGCCUCAUGUAUCACUGUAGGGGGUAGAGCACUGUUUCGGCUAGGGGGUCAUCCCGACUUACCAAACCGAUGCAAACUCCGAAUACCUACAAGUGCCGAGCAUGGGAGACACACGGCGGGUGCUAACGUCCGUCGUGAAAAGGGAAACAACCCAGACCGUCAGCUAAGGUCCCAAAGUUAUGGUUAAGUGGGAAACGAUGUGGGAAGGCUUAGACAGCUAGGAGGUUGGCUUAGAAGCAGCCACCCUUUAAAGAAAGCGUAAUAGCUCACUAGUCGAGUCGGCCUGCGCGGAAGAUGUAACGGGGCUCAAACCAUACACCGAAGCUACGGGUAUCACGUAAGUGAUGCGGUAGAGGAGCGUUCUGUAAGCCUGUGAAGGUGAGUUGAGAAGCUUGCUGGAGGUAUCAGAAGUGCGAAUGCUGACAUGAGUAACGAUAAUGGGUGUGAAAAACACCCACGCCGAAAGACCAAGGUUUCCUGCGCAACGUUAAUCGACGCAGGGUUAGUCGGUCCCUAAGGCGAGGCUGAAAAGCGUAGUCGAUGGAAAACAGGUUAAUAUUCCUGUACUUCUGGUUAUUGCGAUGGAGGGACGGAGAAGGCUAGGCCAGCUUGGCGUUGGUUGUCCAAGUUUAAGGUGGUAGGCUG
rnacentral:rRNA from 2 species